GUUACAUAUAGCUCAGUUGGUAGAGCAUGAGACUCUUAAUCUCAGAGUCGGGGGUUGGACUAGAUGACCCUCAUGGUCCCUUCCCAACU